UUGGACCCGGAGAGACCGAGUUUCUGCUACGCUGGUGGAGACACCCGCCCAGCCCUCGUUGUAGAGGCUGUAGGUGUAAACUCCAGAAGAAAAGCGGACUUAGAAAGAGAAUUGAGCUCCCAUGUCCUUUCCCCAGACGGAAGAAACAGUUUGGUACUGGAACGGCGCCUUCUGUUGUAUUUUCUUCCUCCCAUUUUUCAGUCUUUAACAUUCUGAUUCUCUUUGUGAUCUCUAACAGCAUUAUCCAUCUUCGAAUUAUACAGCCACUGAUUUCUUCCAGAAGAUGAAGGAAGAUGAAGGAAGGAAAAAAAAUCCUACAUAUAUACCUCUGAGCUGGGAUGAAAAUAUUUUGAAUUUUAGGGUUUUUUUUUUAAUAAAUUCAUGUUUUAAU